rnacentral:lncRNA from 1 species
GCUGGAGAGAGUGUCCAGAUUUGGGGAAUGGGAGAGGCCAGGCCGGUACUGAGCCUUCUUUCAAAGAAAGCAGAUUUUUAACUUUACUUGAAGAGUUUUACUAUGUGUUGUUGUUCUAACCAAUUUUUGUACAUAUAUUAAGAUUCUAUUUAAAGUUUUUAUAUAUGUUUUGGGUGAGUUACUUCCCCUCCAACAUGCGCACUUUUGUGACUUGUAUUGUCUGUCUUCUCUGUGACACACACACACACACACACACUUUUUUACUAUUGGUCGUAACAUUGAUGUUUGUAAUCGAGACCAUAGCUUUUACUAUUUGCAAGGCUCCCUGGACCAAACGAACCUCUUCAAUGGAGCCCCCACCAAGGAAGGCCAUCAAAUCUCGACACGUCCUGGAAUUCUCUAGGCCUCGGGUCUUCCGAAAGUCUCCUGAGCCUCUCGAGCCGACCUUUUAUAGCAGCGUGGACAAGUCUUUGGUUUCCAGGAAAGCUGUCCUUGGCGAACGUAGCGGAACUUUGGUCCGGUUUGUUGCAGGGUCCCAACGUGGUGCCCUUGUCACCCAUCUGUUCUGUGGGAUGUGGGCCAAAGGCUCAGUUUCAGUGGCUGUCCCCUCCCACUCGCCCCUCUGCUGGCCUGGGGCUGGAGGCUUUGGCCUUGGGGGAGCUUUGUAA